AGCGAACGCUGGCGGCAGGCUUAACACAUGCAAGUCGAGCGGGCAUCCUUGUGGUGUCAGCGGCAGACGGGUGAGUAACGCGUGGGAACGUGCCCUUCUGUUCGUAAUAACUCGGGGGAACUUGAGCUAAUACCGGAUACGCCCUUUUGGGGAAAGGUUUACUGCCGAAGGAUCGGCCCGCGUCUGAUUAGCUAGUUGGUGAGGUUAUGGCUCACCAAGGCGACGAUCAGUAGCUGGUCUGAGAGGAUGAUCAGCCACACUGGGACUGAGACACGGCCCAGACUCCUACGGGAGGCAGCAGUGGGGAAUAUUGGACAAUGGGGGCAAGCCUGAUCCAGCCAUGCCGCGUGAGUGAUGACGGCCUUAGGGUUGUAAAGCUCUUUUCUCCGGGACGAUAAUGACGGUACCGGAGGAAUAAGCCCCGGCUAACUUCGUG
rnacentral:rRNA from 1 species